rnacentral:rRNA from 1 species
UACGUAGGGGGCUAGCGUUGUCCGGAAUCAUUGGGCGUAAAGCGCGCGUAGGCGGCCCGGUAAGUCCGCUGUGAAAGUCAAAGGCUCAACCUUUGAAUGUCAGCGGAUACUGCCAGGCUAGAGUCCGAAAGAGGCGAGUGGAACUCCUGGUGUAGCGGUGGAAUGCGCAGAUAUCAGGAGGAACACCGGUGGCGAAGGCGGCAUCCUGGACCAACACUGACACUGAGGAGCGAAAGCCAGGGGAGCAAACGGG